UACGUAGGGCGCAAGCGUUAUCCGGAAUUAUUGGGCGUAAAGGGCUCGUAGGCGGUUUGUCGCGUCGGGAGUGAAAACACACAGCUUAACUGUGUGCUGGCUUCCGAUACGGGCAGACUAGAGGUAUGCAGGGGAGAACGGAAUUCCUGGUGUAGCGGUGAAAUGCGCAGAUAUCAGGAGGAACACCGGUGGCGAAGGCGGUUCUCUGGGCAUUACCUGACGCUGAGGAGCGAAAGUGUGGGGAGCGAACAGG
rnacentral:rRNA from 1 species